UUUGAAUAAUUAAAUUCAAACCUAUAGUUUUUUUUAAAUAUAAUUUUGGGACUACAAUCCCAUUUUUAUAUUAUUUUUCUCUCUUCCUCUCACGUUGCUCAGCGUUUUCUCGCAAGGGGGGAUUAUUUUCUUUGUCUUCAGGAGCGAAUCCGGCCGAGAAAGCACCAGAGGUGUAAUUAUGGUGUAUGAGACACCAUCUUUUACGUUGCCUCUUAUUUUGGAUUAUACAAUGUAUCUUGUGCCAACUUAGGACAUAUCUUGUCUAUGGAGCAUGUAAACUCUAAUCCUUUUUAUUAAAUGCAUUUAUAUGUCCAAGAAGAUUAUGUCUGUCCCUUUUGAUUCAUGACCUAAUUUGAAUAACAUGCUAUGAGGAUCAUGUCUGUCCCUCAUGGUUCUAAUUGCUUUUUGAGA